CUCACUUAGCAGACUGAAUUCGAGAGGCUAUAAGACGGUAGCUGAUGGAAGAAUCCUGAGGGUGUUACGCGGCGAUAGGAUUAUACUAGAGAGGAAGAAGGGGAGUAGAGGACAUUAUUAUCUGACGGGAAGUCUAGUGCGAGGUAGAGCUUCAGGAGCCAGAUGGAGUCCAGAGCGAAGUGGAGCUCCAGAUGGAGGUGAAUCGGGCACGAGACAGGAGACUCGAGAGGAUGAGAAGCAACGUCGCAAUAUGAGAUUCCUAUUGCCGCAAGAUGAUAUCCUGAGCAGGUCUCA
rnacentral:lncRNA from 1 species